rnacentral:snoRNA from 1 species
ACUGUAUCUGUGAUGAUAAGUUUAACCAAUGCAUAGUUCAACUGAAGCUUUAUUAAUGAAGAUAACAAUUCCAUCGAAUUUAGUCUUUCGCUCCUAUCUGAGUUGCAGU